UGGCACUCACUAUUUGCUCGUUUAGGUUCACAUUCGCAUCAACAUGCAAGUGAUAAAGACUGUCAAUUAAAAGACCUCAUGCAAUUAAUUUAUUUCAUAAAUAAAUAGAACAAAAGUCUUUAUUGAAACAAAUUUCAAAACUUUCCUGUGCUAACACAGAUAUAGAAAUUAAAUUUCGACUAGCUAUAGGACAUAAUAACAGUCUUUUAAAUCUAAUCUAACAUCAGACG
rnacentral:lncRNA from 1 species